GGAGGGUGCAAGCGUUGUUCGGAAUUACUGGGCGUAAAGGGCGCGUAGGCGGUUUGAUAAGUCAGAUGUGAAAGCCCACGGCUUAACCGUGGAAGUGCAUUUGAUACUGUCAGACUUGAGUACCAGAGGGGAAAGUGGAAUUCCCGGUGUAGAGGUGAAAUUCGUAGAUAUCGGGAGGAAUACCGGUGGCGAAGGCGACUUUCUGGCUGAGUACUGACGCUGAGGCGCGAAAGCGUGGGGAGCAAACAGGAUUAGAUACCCUGGUAGUCCACGCUGUAAACGAUGUCAACUAGAUGUAGGGGGUGUUGAUCCCUUCUGUGUCGCAGCUAACGCAUUAAGUUGACCGCCUGGGGAGUACGGCCGCAAGAUUA
rnacentral:rRNA from 1 species